AGAACAGGAUGCGCCGCUUCCAGGCUGGCUCUACAGUGCCGGGAGCCCCGCGGCCGUUCCGAGACUCCGGGGGAGCGCAGGAGCGCGGCACAUGGCAGCGGGUCCCGGGGAUCUCGCUGGGCGCUUCCUGCAGGUCCGCGGGGACUUUCCCUGCCUGGAACCCCUCACUGAGCUGAGGGGCGACUGAAAACGAAAAAGAAGAAAAAGCCAGAGACCCCAGCAUGAGAUUGAACACAGUGACUAACCCCCAAGAACUGCAGCUCUAGAGAGAGCAGCACCUCCACAGAGACAGCCGCGACAAGGCCUCUGCAGAACACCAGCCCUGCCACAGAGUGCAGUCGGGAGAACUUCACAUAAAUAGGGUUUGGCAGAGCCUGGAAAAUGUGGGAUUCUGUACGAUUCUGCUACUCAGGAAAAGCACACAAUUCCCACUGUGAUACACACAAAGGAAAGAAGAUUGAAAGCAGGAGCUCGGAAUGAAUUGGAAAUUCACACAGAACCUCUUCUCUGUCUUAUUAAUAACCACUUCAGAUCUGCACCAUUGACCGCUGUUAACUAUUAUUAGGGCACUUUGCCUGACUGGUUAGAAGAGAUUUUCUCCUACUGUGUUGAGCAACCAUGGUGUCCAGUCAGCUCGUGCAUAUGUGGGACUCAACACGUAACGUGAAACAAACAGCAACAGUGACAGGACAAAAGGGCCUUUGACAGAGAAAGAUUGAUGGUGGCAAACAGAGAAGUGUCGCAAAGCCAACCUCAUGCUUGCCAAACUCCAAAGACACAUUUGUCAUCCGUGGCACUUUCUCCCUGGUGCAGGCUGCUUGUCAAAGGGACUAGUUCGAGUGUUCAGCAGGCAAGGAGACGUGGAGGUAAAGAAGUGAAGACAUCAUUCUUCAUUACUCACCUCAGAAAGCAGGAAAGGAAAAUAAGAAAGAGUCGACCACAGUACAGUCUUGAUUAAUUACCAGACUUGGCAGUGACAGUGAAAGGAAGAGAAGGGAGAAUUUUAUUGCUAUAUAUACUGAGCGCAAACACAGUUUCCGCAAGAACCAUAAGCUAAAUGAAGCAAGAAUUAGCACCCAGACCUGAAGACUGAAAACACAGACCUGCAGAGAUGUUCAGCUCCCUGCACAGCUGCUCUAGGUCUCAGGCCUUUGUGGUGGACAAACCUCAUGGACUGUCAGCAACUUUGGCCUUCACUAUAAACAAGAUCUUGCAUAUGGAGUUUGUAAUGCACAAGUCCAAUGUAGAGACAAUGAGAGAAAUUCUGAUGCGUAAAACUGAAAUGGCUACAAGGAAGAUUAAAAAACAUUUAAUGUGUUACUU
rnacentral:lncRNA from 7 species